rnacentral:lncRNA from 1 species
GGGUAACUUCCCUGGAGGUUGGCCAGAUGGAGGAACAAGAAGAUCCCAUGUGAGGCAGUGUUUGGAAGAGGAAGCAGAAGGAAAAGGCUCAGUGCUUUCAGAAGGCUCUUGCUUCCCAAGCAGAUAAAUCCACACAGACAGAACUCGUAGGACAUGAUGCCCUGUGGAACUCUCCAUGUUCUGAAGGCUUAGUUUACAAACCUAUCAGCAUCUCAUUGGUUCCAUCAUUAUUAAAUUAAAAAGCAACAUCUGGACACUCUGCACUUACGGAUAUAAUUAAAUACUGCUGUAUAUGAAAUGAGCUGCAAGUUACCAUUGCUGGCAAAAUUCUACUACUUAAGAUAAUAUUUGUAUUAUGAACAGUCAAAUAUCAUUUUUUUGAGGAAUAUCUUCAUUAUUAAGUGUAUCUAUGAAUAAAUUAUUAGUAAGCUAUGACA